AUGUGGAGGCUCACGACCAGUGAGGGUGGCGGGCCAUGGCUGAGGUCGAACAACGGCUUCCUCGGCCGGCAGGUGUGGGAGUACGACCCCGACGCCGGCACAGCGGAGGAGCGUGCCGAGGUUGAGAGGGUGCGAGCAGACUUCCGAAAGCACCGCUUCGAGAGGAAGGAGUCACAGGACCUCCUCCUACGCAUGCAGUAUGCAAAACUCAACACACCUUCAAUGCAUAUUCCAACCCUUAAGCUUGAAAAUACUAUAGAAGUCACUGAGGAAAUUAUAUCUGCUUCUUUGACGCGAGCAUUAAAUCAAUAUUCAACUCUACAAGCACAUGAUGGGCAUUGGCCUGGUGAUUACAGUGGAAUUUUGUUCAUUAUGCCCAUCUUUGUAUUCUCUUUAUAUGUUACAGGAUCACUUAACACUGUACUAUCUUUUGAACACAAGCAUGAGAUAUGUCGCUACAUUUACAAUCAACAGAACGAGAAUGGAGGGUGGGGAAAGCAAGUUCUUGGGCCAAGUACCAUGUUUGGAACAUGCAUGAAUUAUGUAUGCUUAAUGCUUCUUGGUGAGAAGCUAAAUGGUGAUCUCGACGCAUUAGUCAAAGGUCGUUCUUGGAUUAUAUCUCAUGGAAGUGCAACUGCCAUACCACAAUGGGGGAAAAUAUGGCUCUCGAUAAUAGGAGUCUACGAUUGGUUAGGAAAUAAUCCAAUUAUUCCUGAAUUAUGGUUGGUUCCGGAUUUUCUUCCAGUUCACCCAGGUCGAUUUUGGUGUUAUACCCGAUUGGUGUACAUGUCAAUGGCAUACCUUUAUGGAAUAAAAUUUGUUGGUCCCCUUAGUCCAACAAUAUUAGCAUUGCGGGAAGACCUCUAUAGUGUGCCCUACAUGAAUAUUGACUGGGACAAGGCACGUGAUUCUUGUGCUAAGGAGGACCUGCAUUACCCACGCUCACAAGCGCAAAAUCUUAUAUUUGGUUGCCUAAACAAGUUUGUGGAGCCAAUUUUGAAUUGUUGGCCGGCCAACAAGCUAAGAGAGAGAGCUUUGAGUAACCUCAUGAAGCAUAUCCAUUACGAGGAUGAAACAACUAAAUAUGUUGGCAUUUGCCCUAUUACCAAGGCAUUAAAUAUGAUAUGUUGCUGGGUAGAAAACCCAAAUUCGGAUGCGUUCAAACAACAUCUUCCAAGGUUUUAUGAUUAUUUGUGGCUUGCAGAAGAUGGGAUGAAGGCACAGGUAUAUGAUGGUUGUCAUAGCUGGGAAAUAGCAUUCAUAAUUCAAGCCUAUUGCUCCACAAAUCUUAUUGGCGAGUUUGGGCCAACUAUAAAAAAGGCUCAUGAAUUCAUGAAAAACUCACAGGUCCUUAGCAACCAUCCAAAUUAUGAACGUUACUAUCGCCAUAGAUCAAAAGGAUCAUGGACCCUUUCAAGUGUUGACAACGGUUGGUCUGUGUCUGACUGUACUGCAGAAGCUGUUAAGGCAUUGCUACUGUUAUCAAAGAUAUCACCCGACCUUGUUGGAGAUCCAAUAAAACAAGAACGAUUGUAUGAUGCCAUCGAUUGCAUCCUAUCUUUCAUGAAUAAGGAUGGUACCUUUUCUACAUAUGAAUCUAAGCGGACCUUCUCUUGGUUAGAGGUUCUCAACCCUUCUGAGAGUUUUCGGAAUAUUGUUGUCGACUAUCCAUCUGUUGAAUGUACAUCAUCAGUGCUUGAUGCUUUGAUUAUAUUCCAAGAGGUACAUCCACUAUAUCGUAGAAAUGAGAUAGAAAAAUGCAUUCGAGAUGCUGCUAAAUUUAUUGAAAACAAUCAAAAGAAUGAUGGUUCAUGGUAUGGCACAUGGGCAAUCUGUUUCACUUAUGGAACCAUGUUUGCGGUAAGAGGAUUAGUUGCUGCUGGAAGAACCUAUGAUAAUAGUUACCCCAUCAGGAAAGCAUGCACCUUUUUGUUAUCAAAACAACAAAGCACCGGUGGAUGGGGUGAAAGCUAUCUUUCUAGUCAUAAUGAGGAUUAUGUUGAUAGCCAUAAACCUAAUGUUGUGAACACUUCGUUUGCGAUGUUGGCUUUAAUUUAUGCUGGGCAGGUCGAACGAGAUCCAGUACCACUAUUUCAAGCAGCAAGACAAUUAAUCAACAUGCAACUAGAAACAGGCGAAUUCCCCCAACAGGAACACGUUGGAUGCUUUAACUCCUCCUUCUACUUUAACUAUGCCAACUAUCGCAACUUAUACCCGAUUAUGGCUCUUGGGGAGCUCCAUCGUCGAUUGCUAGCAAUCAAACAUUAA
rnacentral:rRNA from 1 species